GCAGCACUCGGCACAGCGUUUCUCAAAUCGGAGUCGGGGUCAGGCAACGCCUUCGCCUUGCCGAGUCCUACAAAGUCUGGACUCUGGAGCCAAUCCAAGAACCAGAGAGCGGUCUAGGUCAAUGGAGCCCCGGCUGGUGGCGGCUCUCGUCUCCUCCCUCGUCACCCAAGCCCUUCUCCUCCUCCUCCUCCUCUCGUUUUCCUUCUCCUCCUCCUCCUCCUCCUCCAUCCCUUCUUCUUCUUCUUCUCUUCUUCCCAAUCUCCUCUCUCCUUCCUCCUCCUCUCCUCCUCCUCCUCUCCUCGCCCUCCUCUUCCCCCACCUCGCCGCCUUCUUCCCUUUCCUCCCCCGAAACAGGAAGCGAAAGCGUGAGCGCGACCAGGAGCAAGCGGAAAUCGAGGCAGAUGACAAGCGAGGAGGCGAAGAAGAAGAAGAAGAAGCGGCGCCGUGCAGCAGCAGCAGCAGGAGCAGCUCCAUCGUUGCCAGCCCGGACCACUUCCGGCUUUCCUUCCGGAUGUCCGCCGCCACCUUCGAAUGGCUCUCCGGCCUCCUGGACCCGCUCCUUGACUGCCGCGAUCCCGCCGGCUCCCCGCUCCGCCUCCCGGGCCCUGCCCGCCUUGCCCUCGCCCUCGCCCGCAUCGCCUCCGGCGCCCCCUACCGGGACCUUGCCGCCCGCUUCGCCGUCCCCGAGACCGCCGCCCGCUUCUGCGCCCGCCACCUCUGCCGCGUCCUAUGCACCAACUUCCGCUUCUGGCUCGCCUUCCCCGCCCCGCCCGACCUCCGCCCCGUCGCCGCCGCCUUCCGCUCCCUCGGCCUCCCGGACUGCUGCGGCGCCCUCGCCUGCGCCCGCUUCGACGGCUCCGUCGCCGCCCAGAUCGUCGCCGACGCCUCCUCCAGAAUCCUCAGCAUCGCCGCCGGCUUCCGGGGGGACCGUAGCGAUUCCAGCAUCCUCCGGUGCUCGUCGCUGUACAAGAAUGCGGAAAGGGGCCGGUUGCUUGGGCCCGAUCAGUACCUGGUCGGGGAUGGGGAGUACCCUCUGCUCCCCUGGCUGAUGGUCCCCUUCGCCGACCCCGUCCGCGGCUCCUGCGAGGAGGAUUUCAACGCCGUGCACCGGUCCAUGAGCCGCCCCGCCCUCAGGGCGGUCGCCAGCCUCAGGAAUUGGGGCGUGCUCGGCCGCCUGGGGGAGGAGGAGGAUGCCAAGGCGGCCGCCGCGUGCAUCGGCACCUGCGCGAUACUCCACAACGUGCUGCUGAUGAGGGAGGACUACUCCGCUCUCGCGGACGCGACGAGGCAGUGCCCAGCGACGCCGGAGCACGCUGGUGGCGGGGAGGACGCUGGAUUGGAGGACUUUACGGCUGAGAGGAACGCCUUCGUGGUGCGGAGCACGUUGGCCGUGAGGGCAAGGGCGAUUCGCGAUGCCAGCCGCCAUUUGGUGUGUCCGUGACUGCUGGUGGUGCAGCAGCGCCAAAAUGGGAUGCACCGGGGGAAAUUGGUGCAUGGAUACUGCAAGGAUCAACUUUUCAGCUGGAGGUACUAUAUGUUUUGACUUGAUUUAUUUGUUCAAUACAACUUUUGGCUUACAAUAGAGGGUUUCAAGAUUAGUUUUAAUAUGCCCCAGCUUGGUUAAAAGCGGACCAGGACAGAUACUUAUGAUGGAUUUGGUCUAUCUAUCGAGGCUCUCUGAACAUGUGGGGAUGGAUAUUGAUGGUGGGGGACCCAACCAACCUAACCCAAAAUUUGUGCAAAUUUAAAAAGAACCCCCAGCCAAUAUUAGUCUAAAUUCUUUCAAGCAUACCUGAAAGAACCCCCAGUCCCUGCAAGCCACAUCAAGUUGGUUCAGCUCAUCCUUGUUGCCACUUGAAAGCAUUGAGAGAUCGAUGACAGGAAUGGAUGUAGGAUCCCUCACAAUCUCUUGAACACUCUCAACAGGGAGAGAGAUUCCCCAGCUGGGCUUUUCUUCCUCCCUUGUGCUAACAUUCUCAACCUCAACUCCCAUCUUCUGUCUCAAAGAGUUAUUAUGAUGGAACAACACAUUUGUCAUAUCACAACAAGCAUACAGAAUCACAUUUGCAACCAUAGAGCGCUAUCACAUGGAUUCAAAGGGACCGAGAGAGACCUUCACUGGCUGGUUGAUAUCAAGAGGCAAUCUUGUUCUCUCUGAGAAGGCUUUAGCUUCUCUUAAAGAUGACAUGAUCUCAGAAUUCUUUGUGCCUUUCGCUUUUUUAAAUUUUUCUUGUGAUGUACAGGCAUUCUUUAUAGAAAGUGGUUUUUAGAGCCCGCUAACUCUUCAUUUUUAUGCAACAAUUGGUAAAACUCAGAUCAGGACUGUCUGGUUGCAGGUAUUAUUUUAAAAAAAAAUGAAUCUACUUAGUAUUUAUUUGCUUAACCAUGAUUGUUGAUCUACAUGGAGGGAGGGAUUGAUGCAUAUGGUGAUUACCAUAACAUCACAGUAAUGAAUCAUGUAGUUUAAGUGUCCGUGCAAAAUCCAUAACUCAUGUUUGUUUCAUGUUGGACAUCUAGAUAUUCCAUUAGUAAAUCAUUACUGGAUUUGGUGGAACAAAAAAGAUAGCAGAAUUAAGUUGUUUGAUCCAGUUUUUAGUGAAAAUAAUUUAUUUUGUUGUGCUUGAAAUCCUGGCUUGUAUAUAUGUCUCUUAUUUGUGUUUGUUUAGUGGAUAGCAUUUUUUCUUCCCAGAUGUUCUUUUGCUUUUUUGGAUUUUCAUAAUAAACUAGCAUAUGUGCCACGCAAUGCAUGGGAUAUGAUUUUUCUUCCUUUUCCAACUGUUAUUGAAAUGUAAUAUAACAAUAUAACAAAUUAUAACAAAAAGAAGGCUUCAAUAGCUAAAUUUCAGUAGUACAUUACUUGUAAAGAAUAGGAACAAAAAGAAAAAAACACAGAAUUUUCAUCUUCGAAUUCAUGAAUUAUCUAUAAAGUAGAAGCAAUGGGGAAAAGUCCAUUAUUGAUCACUGAAUCACAAUGAAAACAAAUCCAUAACAUGAAAAAAGAAAAACAAAAGCAUAGGCCAAGUUUAAAAAAAUCAUUAAUUUGUAGUAAUCUAGUACAACAAAGGUAAAUCAUCAUUAACAUACCAGUUUAAAAAUUAUAGUGAAGCAGAAUCCAAAUACGAUAUCUCUUCAAAAACAAAUCAACAGCAAAAUGACAGGAAGAUAAGCAAAGUUCUAACAAUCAUUAAAUCAAGCACAAACCUGAAAAUGAUUCAAUACAAGAAGGAAUUAAUUUAAUGGACAGAACCAAGACUCAGACAUUGAAAGGGCACAGCUCCUUAAAUUCCAGGCAAAUCGAUCAGAACAAAAAGACAAUGGAGAAGAAAAAGGAUAUAAUUCAUUUGAAACCAAAUUUAAUGUGAGAAGGAUUGAAUUUGAUAUAGUGAAUCAAGACUCAGACACUAUAAUGGUGUAACUCCUCAAAUGCCAACCCAACCAAUAAAGCUAUUGAUAAUUUCAAAUUCCAAACCAACCAAAAAGAAUAAUCAAUAAUUUUCCAUCAUUAAUACCGGUGUCCAUAUGACAAUGGUGGACUUUAAAUAUCAAUCUGAAGUAGAAAUCAAAUACAAUAUCCCUUCAUAAACAAAUCAAUACCAAAAGAUAGGAAGAUACAAUCAUUAAAUCAAACACAAACAAGGAAACGAAUUCGAUACGAGAAGAAUUGAAUUUGAUAGAGUGAAUCAAGAUUUGGACAUUGAAAGUGCAUAACUCAAAUUCUAAGUCAACCAAUUAAAAUGAUGAGACACAAUAGAGAAAAAAUGGAUAAAUUCAUUUGGAAUUGAAUCCAAUAAGAGAAGGAUUGAAUUUGAUGCAAUGAGCCAAGACUUGGACACUGAAGGGACAUAACUCAAAUUCCAAGCUGACCAAUCAGAACCAUUAAUAAUUUUUCAUCUUUAAUACUGGUGUCCAUAUGGUGAAUGGAGAUCUUGACAUACUGAGAUUCCAUUUUAUAUAUGUAUAAUAGAUAAUAGGUUCAAAGUGUUUAUUUUUUCUUUUUUUUUUGGAUUUGAGAUUGAUAUCCUCCUUUUUCAACCUAGUUUGGUGCUCAUUCCAGGUAUGCAGUGGGGCAGACAUCAACCUUGGAAUACAUACUCCGGUAAGGAGCUUUGGCUUAUCCAAGGAGCAAGAUUGUGAUAACAAUGUUAAUGAAGGCUGAGGUCAAUUUCUGGUCGAGGAUUCGGAUUCACAGGCAUCAAGGGAGGUGCUUGUACUUUGUUGAGGUUUUACACACAACCACUAGUGGGGCCAAUGAAAGCUUAAUGUUGCUGCAUGUCAUUUUUCUGCAGUAUGUUUCAAGGAACAAUGCACUUGGUCAUAUGCAUAUAUAUAGAUAUACAUAUUGUUGGAGAGAAUCCAUAAAAGAAAACUCAAAAUUUUCUUAAGAGUUUUCUCCAAAACAUUUUUAAUCUUGUUUUUAAUUUUAUCAUUUAAAUAUUUUAAU